CUCUCUUGGCAGAGCCCGCUCGCAGCGGCACGCGCCUGGGCCCCGCCCCCUCCACCCCCUCCCAUUGGCUCUGCGCCCUUUGAUUUACGUGGAUACCGCUAGCAACCUCCCAGGCCGGCGCCACUGAUUGGUGCAGAGCUCCACCCUCCCUCCUCUUCCCUCGGGCGCCCAGUCUUCUCAGCCCUUCCUCUGGCACCCCCCCCCCCCAGCCCAGCGAUUCAGAUUCUCUGAGUUCUCACCCCCCUCUCCUCUUCUGUCCCCGGCCUCCACCGCCCCUCUCGGAUGGGCCCCGCCCCCCAUCUGUCUCCCAAGCUGAGAAGCCCCGCAGCCGGGCGGUCCAGGAGCUCUAGGAGACUACAGCCGCUCCGAAGACUUGCACCCGAGGGAGUCUACUUUCUCUUCUCAAUAGAAUUCAGAGCUCCAACCUGCGGACGAAUUCAGCUGCCUGGAAGGAUUUAAGGCAAUGUGCGGAGAGCGUCUCCCUUCCCUGCCCAAAGGACAGAAGUCUUCCUGUUCCUCCUGUUAAUUUCACUUUUGAAAAAAAAAAUACAAGAAUCUUUGAAGCCCGUAGGAUGAUACCUUCAAGGGAAGAAUUAGGUUUCCAGAUAUAUUUCCCAGGGAUUUGUGGCUGCCCAGGUCUCUGUAAGAGCCCCUCCUCUCGAUAUCCUGCCCACCACCCCCCCACACACCAAAGGGGUACCCUGGGCACUGGAUGCUAAGUGCAUAUGCAUGGUGGUGGUGGUGAGGGGGCAGAAAUUGGCAGCACGUGCAUAUCAGCACUUAACUGUGCUGGGACUCUACUGUCCAUUAACGCCAGCAGAUCCUCCCCACUUUGACGUCCCAGAUCUGCACUCCACCCCUCAGCCCCGCCUCAUUCUCUGGCGAGCGAAAGGACUCGCCCAACGCUUCCCAACUGGUCUAGCUGGGAGAGUUGUACCGGGCUUAGAAUGCUUAUUGAAUCCCGGGAGUAUACUAAAUGGUGUCCCGCCAAGGGGCCUCAGCGUCUGCUCCCCCCUCCUUCCCCCCCUCCCACCCCCGCUUCGGGUGUAGGGCCAGUGAAGGGGAGGGCCCGGCUGGGAGCGCAGUUCCACUUGGAGCACCGCCCCUCGGGGAGCCAAGGCCGCCUCCGCCUGUGGCAAGGGGCCCGGUUGGCUCCAACGCUGGGUUCAGAGCAUCUGGGAGUCCGGCCCCCCGCCCCGCGCGCCUUCUCUGCACGCAGCAGCUCGGGGAUUCCAGAAACCUUGGCUCUGGAAGAUUUUAGGUUCCAAAUGGGGCUCUGGUCCCACGGUCGCUAGCGCGGUUCUUCCUACUGACCCAGUCGGGAAAGAGACCGCCUGCUUGCCUGCCUGUCUCCGCCUGAAACACAGAGCGUUGAAGGUGUCUCGGGUAGACUCCUUCGGAUUUUGAUUCAGCUUGUUCUUUUUCACUGUUCAAAGCAGCUGUUCAAAUACUGCGGCUGCUUACGCUGACGUGGAGAGGAUUUCAAACAAGCCUAAAACGCUUUGAACUGACAAGGUGCCUUGAUAUCUGCCUCACUCCAGCACGGCUCCUCCAGAGCACUUGCUAGGACAAUGGCUGAGCAAGCAGUUGGUGCUGGCCUCUCUGCCUGGGGCGAGGACUGCCCAACCCCCAGAGCCCCCUACAGCAGGAGUAGGCUGGCGGCACAAUGGAAAGGUCUUCUCUUAGGCUGCAUCAGGUUCUCUCAGAUCUUCUGGAAGGGCGUUCUUCUUCUGUACUGUGGUUGCGCUGGUCUGAACUGGCGUGGGCUCCCUUGGGUGAGAAAGCACAGGAGCAGAGAGAAAACAACCUCACAACGCUAAAACCCCAAACAAAACAAAAACCCACCGGCAUUUCGUGCUCCUUGAGACACUGUGCGGGGCUUUGGAAAGCGGCAAACAGCAUCCUGACUCAAGUAUCCCUAAAUCUUUACCUGAGUAGCAAUUAGGAGAGGAGCAGUCCAAGCUCUGUAACUUGAACUCUAGCUUGUUAACUAGCAAACACGUUCACGUCCUACAUAAAAUGUCGCUUACGUAUUUCUUUAUGUUAGGAGUUGACCGAAGGUGCACCUAACAAUUUCUGGACAUUGAACUGAAAACACCUAAUUAUAAUAGCAGGAGCGAUGGCAUUUAUUUGAUAGAGUUAAAUUUUUCUUCAUUAUGCAAUCUCAGUAAAGUAGAAAUGAGAUAACAACAGAAAACAAAGAGGAUUUUCUUAGGUGCCCAUUGGAGGAGUAGACGUGGCAACUGGUUUAAAAUUAUGUAAAAGUGACCAUUGCUUUUUUUAAAAAAGUAAUACACCUUUGGGUGGGAUUACUCCCUUCUCCGCCUCCCCUCCUUGCUUUCUGCUCUUCCUCCAGGCCCAGCAGCUGCUUGAUGGAGACCUCCUCUCUCCACAUCUGAAUGGAACUUCUUUGCUCAGGGUCCACAGAAAGUCAAAACUCCGACCUCACAGUUACCUCAGCUCUAAGGACCACUCCACACAAAGAAGCAGCUGGUUGUCUUUAAGCUUCAAGAACUGCAGCCUUGGGGGAUGCAUUUAUAAGACGCAUAGAAAAUGCAUUUCCAAGUUACAUGUUCUUGGGAAAUACACAAUAACAUUUACCUGAAAAAAUAUAUAAAAGAAAUUAAUCUUAGCUAUGCAAUGCCUCUUGAACAAAGAUCCUCCAUUUAAUAUUUUCUGUUCCAUCUAUAAAUACAUUUUACCAAUUUCUAAAUGUUCAUCUGUCCCUAUGUCCUUGGAAAAGAAAAAAAAAAAAAACCCGAAGAAGCAGAAGCUUACGAUUUCUGAAAGUUGAAGCACCAUAAGUCCUACACUUGGCAAGUUAGUUUGUUAGUGGCUUGGGCACACACAAUUCUGUUUUAUUAUUAUUAUUAUUAUUAUUAUUAUUAUUAUUAUUAUUAUUAUUUAACCACCAAGUAGUCCACUGAAAUAUACUGUGCAGUGGUAUUUGAAUCAUUUUUAAUUAAAGUGAAAUUAUUUGGAUUCAUGGGUAUUAAUAUUUUCCUUCUUUAAGGCAUGUAUCUCAUCAUUAAAAGUGACCCACUCUUUGUAAUCCCAAAGUGAAUAUUUUAUAAGCAGGUAUGGCUUGAAGACUUCUAAUAUCCCACCACCCGGGCAGUCUAGUUGUUUCGGGGAUUACUUUGAGUUAUUUAUUAAAGGAAGCCUGCUAAAUUUUGAGUGCUGAAUGUGAGGCCAGAGGAAGGAUUCAUUUCAGCAGCAUGCCAGACAGAUCAUGUGUGGAGAAGCUGAAAUCUCAGGAACUGAGCAUGAUGGUCUUUGUGGCUUUUAGCUCACUUCCUUGAAAUUUCAUUGUCAAAGUGCCAGAGGUUAAAUAAAUUCCCAACAAUGAAA